rnacentral:snRNA from 1 species
UGCCGGCCGGGGGACGGACUGG